UGGUGUCAUGGUUGGAUUACCAAGAAACCAGAGAGAAGGACUUGAAAAGCUUAUUGCUGUGUUUGGGAGAGGAGCAGCUGGCUGCUGCCUGCUCAUCAUCCCGCUUCCCUUCUUGAUCUUCAGCGCUCUGCAAAGCUGUCUGACUCACUGCUGGGGAGUGGGGAAGGGAAGCUGUGAGCUCAGGCAGCUUCAUUUUCAGAUUCUGAUCAGGACUCAGUUUAUCAGGAAGCCUCGAAGCCGAAUCUGGCCCGUGGGUGCAAACUGGGAAUGAUAACUGAUGGGCAUGUGCUCAUCUCGCAAGUCCUCCACACAUUGAGCCAGCUCUGCUGCAGGCUGCGACAGUCACCAGGAAUGCUAUUAAAGCAGCACAGCUCCUCUUUAAUUGGUGCCAAAGUGUUCUCAGUAAUGUGAAACGGGUCCUUACAAGGCUUUUAAGUAAAUACAUAACUGGAUGGAUUUGCACUUUA